rnacentral:rRNA from 1 species
GACGAACGCUGGCGGCGUGCUUAACACAUGCAAGUCGAACGGAAAGGCCCUGCUUGCAGGGUGCUCGAGUGGCGAACGGGUGAGUAACACGUGGGUGAUCUGCCCCUUACUUUGGGAUAAGCCUGGGAAACUGGGUCUAAUACUGGAUAGGACCAUGCUGUAGGUGGUGUGGUGGAAAGAUUAGUUUCGGUAAGGGAUGAGCUCGCGGCCUAUCAGCUUGUUGGUGGGGUAAUGGCCUACCAAGGCGUCGACGGGUAGCCGGCCUGAGAGGGUGGACGGCCACAUUGGGACUGAGAUACGGCCCAGACUCCUACGGGAGGCAGCAGUGGGGAAUAUUGCACAAUGGGCGCAAGCCUGAUGCAGCGACGCCGCGUGGGGGAUGACGGCCUUCGGGUUGUAAACUCCUUUCAGCCAUGACGAAGCCCUUGUGGUGACGGUAGUGGUAGAAGAAGCACCGGCUAACUACGUG